GUGAGAGCUUCCAAGCCUCCCUCAGAGUCAUUGCUAGAGUCUUGAACUGUGCACAGGCAGGAUCACACGUUUGAUCCGCUCGAGUUGUACAAAAGAUUCCAGGCUCAGGAGUUGUUCGAAAGGCGGGUUCCUGCUAAGUGGUCUGUAUAGCACCACUGAUGUGCAAAACAAGAAGUAAAAAUGCCAGAGUUCCUCCUCCUCUCAUUUUUCGUGGUAUAUGGACAGAACUGGUGGAAUGUGAGACUCAGGGGAUAAGAAAGAUGUGGCACUCGAUUCUGCUUUUUAAAGAGUAUCCUAAUUUUUCAGGUGACAUGGAAGUCAUCUUGACCUAGAGCUCUAGAACUGUGAACAAUCUUAUCUCUACUUAACCUGCAAAACCAUCAGAUAUUUCUGGGCAGAGAAUACAAAGCUACAGGGGCCAGCAACAUGACAAAUGGUAUAAUAUGUUAAUUAAAUCAGCAUAGUACAAUACCAUUGUGUUCCUGGGUAGCCUUUUUCAUUUUGAGCACCUCGACAUGCACUCCAAAUUUUUAUGCAACC
rnacentral:lncRNA from 1 species